GAUUCCCAGCAGGCAGCUUGGAUAAGAAGGCCACCUUGUUACAGUGAAUUGUGGGGUUUGGGUUUAAACAUGGUCACCUGAGCUGUGUGAUGCAGUUUGGCUGCAGUGCAAGUGAGUGCACCAGGGAGUAUCUGAUUUACUGAUGGACCUGUGGCUUCACAGCAGUGACAAAAGGACAUUUUAGAAACCUAGGUGCCAAGCUGCACUACAUGAAAACUUCUCCUAAUGGCAAAGGUUGGCAUACAUGUCAAGAGAACAUUCUCCAGCUGGGGCCUGCAGUAUAGAGAAUUGUAUACUCCAGAGGGCUCAUGGGACCUUAGGCAGAUUAUUAUGGUAAUAUUGGAGACUGCUGUCCUUUCCCUCCCACAGCUGGGCCGCCUCUCUCAUUAUUGGAGCCUCCACUGGAAUAUAUUUGAGGGAUUUUCAGUAUGGUAAAAAGUCUGGAAACUGCUGCUGUAGAAAACCACAUUCUUUAGAUAUUAAUCUUUAAACUAAGACAGGCCCAUCUGUGUGCACCACUAAAUCGGAAUUGGGAGAUAUAACUCAAGGGUAGGCCUCAUGAUACUGCUGCAAAGUGUAAAUUUCUCUUGUUUCCACAUUGUGAAAACAACAUUUUGAACAUUAAAGGAAAAAAAGUGCUUUGUUCUGUUGAAAGUCCAAAACUUCACAGGCACUAAAUAAAAUUGAAG